GUGGGGAAUUUUGGACAAUGGGCGCAAGCCUGAUCCAGCAAUGCCGCGUGCAGGAAGAAGGCCUUCGGGUUGUAAACUGCUUUUGUACGGAACGAAAAGACUCCUUCUAAUAAAGGGGGUCCAUGACGGUACCGUAAGAAUAAGCACCGGCUAACUACGUGCCAGCAGCCGCGGUAAUACGUAGGGUGCAAGCGUUAAUCGGAAUUACUGGGCGUAAAGCGUGCGCAGGCGGUUAUAUAAGACAGAUGUGAAAUCCCCGGGCUCAACCUGGGAACUGCAUUUGUGACUGUAUAGCUAGAGUACGGUAGAGGGGGAUGGAAUUCCGCGUGUAGCAGUGAAAUGCGUAGAUAUGCGGAGGAACACCGAUGGCGAAGGCAAUCCCCUGGACCUGUACUGACGCUCAUGCACGAAAGCGUGGGGAGCAAACAGGAUUAGAAACCCCUGUAGUCC
rnacentral:rRNA from 1 species